GUGGGGAAUAUUGGACAAUGGGGGGAACCCUGAUCCAGCCAUGCCGCGUGUGUGAAGAAGGCCUUUUGGUUGUAAAGCACUUUAAGCGAGGAGGAGGCUACCGAGAUUAAUACUCUUGGAUAGUGGACGUUACUCGCAGAAUAAGCACCGGCUAACUCUGCGCCAGCAGCCGCGGUAAUACAGAGGGUGCAAGCGUUAAUCGGAUUUACUGGGCGUAAAGCGCGCGUAGGUGGCCAAUUAAGUCAAAUGUGAAAUCCCCGAGCUUAACUUGGGAAUUGCAUUCGAUACUGGUUGGCUAGAGUAUGGGAGAGGAUGGUAGAAUUCCAGGUGUAGCGGUGAAAUGCGUAGAGAUCUGGAGGAAUACCGAUGGCGAAGGCAGCCAUCUGGCCUAAUACUGACGCUGAGGUACGAAAGCAUGGGGAGCAAACAGGAUUAGAAACCCCGGUAGUCC
rnacentral:rRNA from 1 species